GGUCCUCGCCGGUACCCUCUGUGGUGCGGCGGUGCCUCCCUUAUUUUGCCUUCUCUGCGUCUGCAGUAUCCAGAUGUGGGAACUCAAGGCAGCCCACGGAGCAACUUAGUAGAAAAAGGGAGAGUCAGAGAAGGCUCUGGCCGAAGAAUGUACAGAUGGAUGGAGCUUAAAGCUGAGCAUCAAAAGGCCGACAGGAUUGGGAUGAGACCCAGGAGCGCUGGCUACCUCCUGUCCCUGCCGGCAUUCACCAAGCGCUUUCAUGUCUACUGUCUUCUUCGGGACACCCACCUGCCCCAUGAUGGAAGGCCUGCUGCUCCAUCAUCUCCAGUGCACAGAAGAAGCACAACGUUCAGAGAGGCUAAAGGUUAAAUGGCAAGGACACUUAAGCCGGUUAGUGCAGAACAAGGGCCCCAUGCCUUCUGACUCUCAGACCAAUGCUUUCCCAACCAGACUAAGCUAUUUUUAGUUCUGGCAGCAGCAGAUCUGAUGGUUUGGCGGCUUUAUCAAGAAAGGGUUCUGGAAUUCUCUUGAGUCCCUUGGUACAGUUAUCAACAGAUAAAUAUCAGGGCGCCCACUCCUUUUAGCACUUAGUUAUUGGGCCUGUCCACAGUCUCCAAAGACCUAGUGAGGGUGUUGUUAAUGCAUCCCAUGAGCCCUUCUGCAAAAAGAAAGACACGUCAGAUGCUAUUUUGGGUUUUUAAGUGCUAAUCUCGGACAUAAUUAGACAGAGGAUUGUUGUGGGGACUGUGUACUAGUGACAACAAUUUUAUGAUGAGAUUGGUCAGAAGAGUAUGAGCUAGUCCCUGCCAUGAGGUCUCUGGUAAUCAAGUGGCAGGAAGGUGAGAGAGAGAGAUGGGGUCUUUCUCUCUGCUCACACUCCUCUCCUCUCUGCCUAUGCGUCUCCUCUGCGAAUGACUCUUGUGGAAGUUCAGGCCCCAUGAACCACUAGGAAAGGAUGGGGCCAGAGUCAUUCAUAGAGGAGACACAAGGCUAGAGGGGAGAAGAGUGUGAGCAGAGAGAGAGAGAGACCCCCAUCUCCCAUUUUAACUUCCUACCAGUUGACGGUCAGUUAAAAACCUCAUGGCAGGGGGCUGCUUGUGCUUGCUUCUCUGACCAUUCUUGUCAUAAAACUGUGGUCAUUUUUUUCUUAAGUUAAGAAGUUUCAGCCCAGGAAUGACAUGCUUAUAUUGGCAUUUAAAGAAUUUAAUGUACUUAAUGUAAUAACUGCAGUAAAAUUGGAAAGUACAGGUGUCAAACAGGAAGGAAAUGAUAGUCAGUAGGAAUCGUACCACUCUGGGGCAAUGACUGACAACACUGAAAAUGUUUGGGUGUAAAUACCUUCAGGCUUCUGUUAUAUCUAUAUUACUGGAUUCCAUCUAUUUUUAUAUUCUAUGUAGUCCAUUAUAUAUAUACUGUACAUAAAAUAUAUUUUAAUAUAUGUCCAUUUUAUAGAUUCCAUCUAUUUUUUCUUACAAAAAUG